ACGGCUAUAUCACGUUAAGACACCGGUUCUCGUCUGAUUACCGAAGUUAAGUAACGUUGAGUCUGGUCAGUACUCAGAUAGGUAACCGCUGGAAAUACUAGGUACUGUAAG